GCUCGGCCUGCGGAAAUGGCCUCAACGCUUCAACCGGAAGCAGAAACUGACCGCGGCAGGCACCACCUAACGGCCGCUGGAGCAAAUCUCCACCCGGAAAGUCGCAACACCGGAAAAGGUCAGACUGUUUCCGGUAAAAACCCAACAGGGCUGACGUUCAGAGGGCGAGUCUCGAAUAUCCGGCCAAUUUGCCCAGCGCGCGUGCUCCGCGACGGCGUAUGCCUGCUUUUGCGCAGGCGCGGGGACUACUGCGCAGGCAAGCGCGUACGCAAACGCGUGCGCGUGCCCGUUCAACGUCCGGAGCAUCGGUGCAGUUUCGAGGGUAAAGCGUUUGGCGCAGUAAUGUGGACUUUUGUUCUCUAACUACAAGUCCCAGCAUACGUCACCCCUCACGUGGGCGCUAGGUGUGGUUUCGUGGGAUAGGGUCACCAGUGAAAAGUUGUGCAGAGCCCAACAUGAGCUUCAUUUCCAAGCUGCCACCUAUCUCUGCCUCCUGCGUAGCAUCCGGGAACAUGUGGCCCUACAUCAGGAAUUUCAUGGCAAGGGUGAGCGCUCAGUGGAGGAGUCUGCUGGCUUGGUGGGUCUCACGUUGCCCCAUCAGCCUGGAGGGAAGGGCUGGGAGCCGUGAACAUGGAGAGUAUCCUCGGAUGCUACAUUCAUAGGAGAACUGAAUAAUUUCUAUCAAUAUGUAUUUACCAUUAAAUUUUUUUUAAGUUUAA